CCGCAAGAUGACGGCGAAGCGCCAUGUGUGUUCGGGCCGGGAGCACGUGCUACAGCUGGGUGGCGGUUUCGUCUCUGGUAAAAGUGCUCGUGGAAGGUGGUAGCUGAGACGGCGAAGGGCUCCACCUUGGUUACACCUCGGCGCCGCUGCACCAGGUCGUGAUCGGGGUUCCACCAUCAAGGAUCAUCGCGUCGUCCAGGAGCUCCAUCCAACAUCGUCCCUAUCCAACCGAGGGAAUUCUGUA